GGCGUUCAGGAAGCGGAACGCCCCGCUGCCGGAGGACCCCCGGAUGUUGUACCAGGACCAUGAGCUCGACGCGCUCAUCUCCACCAAUGGCAGGCUCCUGCACACCAACCAGCUCACGUAAGUUUGUUCUUUCCGACCUGCCGUGCCAUUUGCUUUGAUUAAGCCGUCGUAGUCGAGGCCGUGCACGUAUACGUGGACGUGCCUCGGCGUCGGCUAGCUUGCAGGAACGUGCUAGUCAUUUCGGCUACUUUUGGUGGUAGUUACAUUAUCAGUGCACAAAGGAAGAAAGUAAAUCGAAGGAAGCUAGAGUGCGGCGUUGCUUUCAGAUGGAAAUGAGAACUAACCAAUGCCUUUUUUGUUACCAACAAAGGAAGAAGUGUAAUUCUUUGUCCUCGCCGUGCUCACUGCUCGCGAGCGUCACACUCAGACUGUCACGUUACGUACACUUGUG
rnacentral:lncRNA from 1 species